CCUACGGGGGGCUGCAGUCGAGAAUCUUCCGCAAUGGACGAAAGUCUGACGGAGCGACGCCGCGUGCGGGAUGAAGGCCCUUGGGUUGUAAACCGCUGUCAGAGGGGAUGAAAUCUUCGGAGGUACUCCUCCGGAGUUGACAGAGCCUCAAAGGAAGCACGGGCUAAGUACGUGCCAGCAGCCGCGGUAACACGUACUGUGCGAACGUUAUUCGGAAUCACUGGGGUUAAAGGGUGCGCAAGCGGCGUUUGAAAUGCCUGAGCUCAACUGAGGCAUUGCGUUUGAAACUGAAUUGCUAGAGUAUUUCAGGGGUGUGCGGAACUGCCAGUGGAACGGUGAAAUGUGUUGAUAUUGGCAGGAACACCGGAGGCGAAAGCGGCACACUGGGGAAUAACUGACGCUGAGGCACGAAAGCCAAGGGAGCGAACGGGAUUAGAUACCCUAGUAGUC
rnacentral:rRNA from 1 species